rnacentral:rRNA from 1 species
AGUGAACGCUGGCGGCAUGCCUAAUACAUGCCAGUCGAACGGAAGCACAGUAAGCUUGUUCCUCUACGGUUGGCGAGUGGCGGGUGGGUGAGGAGUACAUCGGAUUCCACUUUUACUGGGGGGACUACGUGGGGGAGGUUAUGCUAAUAGCUCAUAUGAUCUACCGCUUAGAGCAAUGGUGAUUGGCAGUUUUGCCGUCUCAAUUAGACGGUGUCGGAUUAGCUAGUCGGGUAGGUAACGGCACACCAAGGCGACGAUACGUAGCUGGUCUGAGAGGAUGAUCGGCCACACUGGAACUGAGACACGGUCCAGACUCCUACGGGAGGCAGCAGUGGGGAAUAUUCGGCAAUGGGCGAAAGCCUGAUGCAGCAACACCGCGUGAGUGAUGAAGGUCUUCGGAUCGUAAAACUCUUUUAUUAGGAAAGAAAAACUGUGUAAGUAUCUCCGCCCGUCUUGACGGUACCUAAUCAGAAAGCACCGGCUAACUACGUG